rnacentral:misc_RNA from 1 species
GAUGAAGAACGUAGCGAAAUGCGAUACGUAAUGUGAAUUGCAGAAUUCAGUGAAUCAUCGAGUCUUUGAACGCACAUUGCGCCCCCUGGUAUUCCGGGGGGGCAUGCCUGUCCGAGCGUCAUUGCUGCCCUCAAGCACGGCUUGUGUGUUGGGCCUCCGUCCUCCUCCCGGGGGACGGGCCCGAAAGGCAGCGGCGGCACCGCGUCCGGUCCUCGAGCGUAUGGGGCUUCGUCACCCGCUCUUGUAGGCCCGGCCGGCGCUUGCCGACACAUCAAUCUUUUUUCCAGGUUGACCUCGGAUCAGGUAGGGAUACCCGCUGAACUUAAGCAUAUCAAUAAGCGAGGA